rnacentral:lncRNA from 1 species
UGAGGACACCCGUGCGGCGGACGCGCUCGCGCUGUGAGGCAGGCCGGGAGGUGAGCUGGGUGCGCCACGCUCCGUGCGAGACGUGGGCAUGUCCAGUACCUCCUUCCCUCUCCUCACGCGGACCAACUAUCCCAGUUGGUCCGUCCUGAUGAAAGUCAUCAUGGAGGCGCGACAUAUGUGGGAAGCUGUGGAAACCGGCAAUGUCGAGUACGAGGAGGACCGGCUGGCGAUGGAGGCGAUCUUGCGCUCCGUCCCAGAGGAGAUGGUGCUCACCCUUGGCGCCAAGGAGACGGCCAAGGAAGCAUGGGACACCAUCAAGACUCUGCGCAUCGGCGUGGAGCGCGUACGGGAGUCGAAGGCCCGGACCUUGUGCCUCCAGUACGAGGAGAUCUGGUUCAAGGCCGGUGAACAAGUCGACUACUUCGCCUUGCGGCUGCAAGAGGUCUCGUCAACGAGCUCGCAAUGCUCGGAGAUCACAUCGACAACAAGAUGGUGAUUCUCAAGUUCCUCCGCAUCGUCCCCAGGCAGUACAAGCAACUGGCCUGGUCCAAUGAGAGUUUGGUGGAUCUCUCCACCAUGACGAUCGAGGAGCUGGUAGGGCGGCUGAAGGUCGUCGAGGAGCGCUGCGACGAAGCCGACAACCGUGCUGGCGGCGAACUAUACUGCUCACCAAGGAGCAGUGGGACGCACAGCUUCAGCAGCGCGGCCGCGACGGCUCUUCCGGCAGUGGGGGAGGCGCCCCCACGGGAAGCAGAGGUCGCGGCAGAGGCGGAGGCCGCGCCCAGAGCGGCCGCAGCAACCGUGGGCGCAAGCCAAGCCAGGCAGGGUGAGGCGCUGGCAAUGGUGGCAAGUGCCACUACUUCAACAUGCCGGGUCGCUGGAUCCGGGAUUGCCGCAGGAGGAAAGCCGACGAGGCAGCCGCGACAACGACAAACCUCGUCCAAGCUGACGUGGACGGCGGGCCGGCAAUGAUGCUGGCAAGAGUUGAGCCCGUGCAGGAGAGCACAACAUCUCUCGCGACCACGACUCCGAUAACCACCCAUUCCAUGCAGGAGGCACGGAACCCCUCCACGGGAACCAUCACUCCAGUGACAGGCCACACCUCGACAACGACGUUUUUGGGGCCUGUUGACUAGGAGGCGAUGAAGGCUCGGGUGUGGGGGAGCCACACCCCGGCGACGGUGUCCCCGAACUCGGGACCCGACGAGGUCGCAAGUUGGCGCGGCAACGACGCAUAUGGCGGACCAUGCUCCGACCAUGAUGCUGGUGACCAUCGACUCCGUGCAGGAGCGCACGGAGACUCAGGUCAGCCACACCCCGACAACAAAGUGUUCGGGGUUCAUCGUGUUGACGGGAGUUGGCUCCCUGACAACGGCAUUUUUGUGCGGCUACGUCUUCCUCAACGAGGAGAGAGCCGUGACCACACCCACGCUUGCAGGCGGCAAGCAAAGUGAGGGUUGGUUCCUCGACACCGGCGCCACGAACCACAUGACUGGUUCGGUCGACGCGUUCAUGGAGCUGCACCGCUCAAUCACUGGGAAGGUGCGGUUCGCGGACGGAUCCGUGGUGGAGAUCCACGGGCGCGGGACCGUCGUCUUCGUCAACAAAGGAGGUGAUCAUAGGGCGUUCACGGACGUCUACUUCAUCCCGGCUCUCAAGAGCAGCGUCGUGAGUGUUGGACAGCUCGACGAGGGCUGGUUCGACAUUGACAUCCGGCGCGGUGUAAUCACCGUGCACGACCAGCAGAAGAGGCUGCUCAUCGAGGUAACCUGCUCGGCAAACCGCCUCUACAAGCUCUUCUUUCGACCCGUGCAUCCUGUGUGCCUUGCCGUGGGCCAUGUCUCCGACGCGUGACGUUGGCAUGCCCGGCUAGGACACCAGCACUUCGACGGGUUGCGGAAGAUGGCGUGAGGAAACCUCGUUCAUGGGCUACCUCACAUCGAGCACCCCGAUGAGCUGUGUGAUGCGUGUCUUGCCGGGAAGCAGCGGCGCCUGCCCUUUAUUGAGAAGGCAGGCUAUCGGGUGCAGAAACCCCUGGAGCUGGUUCACGGGUACCUCUGCGGUCCAAUCACCCCGGCAACGCGAGGAGGGUGUCGCUACAUCCUGCUGCUCGUCGACGACUAUAGCAGGUUCGUGUGGGUGCUGCUCCUCGCCUCCAAGGAUGAGGCGGAGCAAGCCAUCGUCAAGCAGCAAGCGGCAGCAGAGGUCGAGUGUGGCCACAAGUUGCGUGUGCUGCGCACGGACCAUGGUGGUGAGUUCACGUCGGCCACGUUCUACAAGCACUAUGACGAGAAAGGGGUGCAACGUCACCUCACAGCCCCUUACUCGCCGCAGCAGAAUGGCGUCGUCAAGCGGAGGAACCAGACGGUGCUCGGGAUGGCACGCUGCAUGCUCAAGACAAAGCAGGUGCCAAGCACUUAUUGGGGGGAGGCCGUGCUCACGGCCGUCUUCAUCCUCAACCGCUCCUUCACAAGGAGCGUCGAUGGCAAGACGCCUUAUGAGGCGUGGUAUGGGAGGAAGCCCAAUGUAUGCUUCCUUCGCACCUUUGGCUGCAUCGGGCAUGUCAAGACGGCGCGUCCACAGCUAAAGAAGCUCGACGACAGGAGCACCCUGAUGGUGUUCAUGGGCUACGAGACGGGCUCUAAGGCGUACAAGAUGUACGACCCAGUCUCAAAGCGUGUGCAUGUCUCGCGCGACGUCAUCUUCGACGAAGACGCGCGAUGGAGUUGGGAGGCGUCGGGGGAGGCCCCGACAAGCAGCUCCUUCAUCGUGGAGUACCCGAUGUACUCUAGGACCCCGGGAAGCAAGACCCCGGGAAGUGCCACCCCGGGAAGCCCGGGAGGUGUGGAUCCGGGAACCGCAACCCCGAGAACACCGUCCCCGGGUACGGUGUCCCCAGACAACCCGACGUCAAGCAAGGUGGGUCCCGGGAGGCAGUUCGCAACCCUGCCAACAGCGAGGUCGGAGCUGUUCGACGCCGACGACAGCGUUGGUGCCCCCCACAAGUUUCGGCGCAUGGGGGAUCUCCUCGGCGAGGCUGCGGCAACACCGCAACAGCCCGAGGAAGAGGACGUUGAUGACGACGACGUCUUGCAUCUGAUGGCCGGUGAGGAGCCGACCACAUUCGCAGAGGCCGAGCAAGAGGAUUGUUGGUGCCACACGAUGCUGGACGAGCUGGCAUCGAUCAACGACAACGCCACUUGGACACUCACCACACUGCGUGCUGGGCACCGAGCCAACGGGCUCAAGUGGGUGUUCAAGGUCAAGAAGGACGAGCACGGCGCCAUUGUCAAGCACAAGGCAUGCCUCAUCGCAAAGGGCUACGUGCAGCGUGAGGGAGUGGACUUCGAGGAAGUCUUCGCUCCGGUUGCAAGGCUGGAGUCCGUGCGACUCAUCCUUUCCAUGGCUGCUCACCGCGGGUGGGAGGUACACCACAUGGACGUCAAGUCAGCGUUUCUCAACGGCGACCUUAACGAGGAGGUGUACGUCUCCCAGCCUCCAGGGUUCGUUGCCAAGAACCACGAGCUGGGCAUGUACAGGCUACACAAGGCCCUGUAUGGUCUCUGGCAAGUCCCAAGGGCGUGGAACACCAAGCUUGAUGCAAGCCUCGCAUCCCUUGGGUUCUCACGCAGCGUUUCUGAGCACGGCGUGUACUCGCGUGGCACCGAGAACACGCUGCUCAUCGUCGGCAUCUACGUCGACGACCUGGUCAUCACCGGGCAGAGCCCGAUGAGGUUCGACGCUUCAAGGGAGAGAUGCAUCGUCUCUUCAACAUGAGCGACCUCGGGCUGCUCCGGUACUACCUCGGUCUAGAGGUAAACCAGGAGGGUGGUCGCAUCACGAUCACGCAGACGGCCUACGCCACCAAGAUGCUCGAGCGAGCAGGCAUGAAGGACUGCUAUGUUGUGCAUGCUCCAAUGGAGGCACGGCUGAAGCUCAGCAAGGAUAGCUCCGAGAAGGCGGUGGAUGCUACACUCUACCGCAGCAUCAUCAGGAGCCUCAGGUACCUCGUGCACACCCGACCGGACAUCACGUUCGUUGUCGGGUACCUGAGUAAAUUCAUGGAAGCCCCGGCAAGCGAUCACCUCGCUGCCGUUAAGCACCUGCUCCGGUACAUCGCAGGUACACUCAUGCAUGGAUGCGUGUAUCGUCGUGGCGACGACGAGAGCUUGGUCGGAUACAGCGACUCCGACCAUGCUGGUGACGUGGAAUCUCAGAAGAGCACCUCGGGCAUACUGUUCCUUCUCGGGAAUAGUCCAGUCAGUUGGCAAUCGGCGAGGCAGAAGGUUGUCGCUGCAUCUUCGUGUGAGGCGGAGUACAUAGCGGGAGCUACAGCGGCCUGUCAAGGCAUUUGGCUUGCUCGCCUUCUUGGCGAGAUGCUGAAUCAGAACACCGCCCCUGCGCUCAUCUUCAUCGACAACAAGUCGGCGAUUUCGCUCUGCAAGAAUCCAGUGCUUCAUGACCACAACAAGCACAUCGAUCUGCGCUAUCACUUCAUACGUGACUGCGUCGAGAAAGGCACGGUGAUCGUGGAGUUCAUCAGGACUGGUGAGCAGAAGGCGGACAUCCUGACCAAGUCACUUGGUCGCGUCCAGUUCCAAGAACUGCGCGGCAAAGUCAGGCUCAUGGAUAUCAAGCUCCUUCGACAAGGUCGAGGGGGAGAUUGUUGGGUCAACCAUAGUCUUCGGUUGCAUGCACGCAGCAGCAGUAGCUUCCUUGGCUUGAAAGGAAGUGGUAUUCACCUAGUAGUUUCCUGGUAGUUCACUUAGCAUUGCAGGGAAGUUGACUAGUAGCAGACUAGAGCUGUGCAUGCAAUUACGUAGUAGCUUCCUAGUAGUUUCUAGAAAUAUGCUUUGCAGGGUAGGGGUAGCAGUCCCGUGAGUGGCAUGCAAGUUUUUUUUAGAAAAGGAGGAUGAUCCCCGGCCUCUGCAUCUGGGCGAUGCAUACGGCCACUUUAUUAAUUAUUCUCACAAGACCAUACAAAGUAAUACAACAGUAAGACUAAAGCCGCCGUCUAAGCAUCUCUAUCCAGCUGAUGAAGGGGCGCAGAUAGCCUGGGCCUAAUACCAAAUAGACAUCGCAGUCAAACCUAACAUCUAAGACCUGAGAACCCAUCCAGGACGCCUGCCGGGCAUGGGUCUCACCGGUCCGGCGUGCACUCAGAUGCCGCCGCCGCCAACUGCCACCGCUCCAUCUUCAGAACUGUACUGAUGCAUCAACCUUGCUCGGUCUAGCUAUCGUCGACGCCACCAUGGCGCCAAACGGCACCUCCUCCCUGCAUGCAAACAGUUGUGCACGUCGCGGUCGCCACUGAUACACCUCAGCGCCAUGCUGCCAGGUAUCACCAGCCGACACAGCUUGAAGUCCUUGGAAGAUCUGUCGUGCGUAGCACCUGCCGACCAGGCAUGACAAAGCGUAGCACCUGUCGGUCAGGCAUGACUUGACAUCACCCCCGAAGCUCCGUGCAAGACGAAGCCGCUCCACCUCCUGCCUCUGACAUCCAGCGCUGCUCCGCAAACGAUGCUCCCAAGAGAGAAAAGACACCGCACUGCCGCCAUCGUCCGAUCUGGAACACCAGAUCCUAGGGUUUCCCCCGGAGCAGCACGAGUGGGUCGACAAUAGUUACACGACGAUGCCUUCAUCAAGGUAACGGCGAGAACGCCGCCAUCGCCUACCAUCGGCUCGGUUUUCACCGGCAACCAUGUCUCCCCAACUCGCAGCCGGGACAAGAUGAUGGAUCUCGAGAUCCGAUCACCAAGCCUCUGGUCGCCCAUCUCAGGAAGAAGAUGACCACCACGUCCAGCAGUCUCACCACGCCGGGCACGUGUCGCCGCCGGCACCCCCAUGGUGCCUAGAGGCCGACAAGCCCCGACGAAUCCCAUGCCUCGCCAGCCGCCAUGGCCCGGACCCCGGCACCACCAGAUCCAGAUCGAAUCGGGGUCCAGGGCCCCAUGCCGCAACCGCCGCGGAGGCAGCACCACUGGACGGUGCCUAGCCCUCCAGCACCACUGUGAGUGGCAUGCAAGUACGUAGGUAAUUUCGCGUGUGUGUGUGCAUUGUGCACGACCAGCCCUAUAAAAGGACCCCGGUCCUUCAGUUGUAAUAAGGCCAUUUUCAUUUCUAUCCAGCCAAGCCUCAAGUGUAGUACUACUACAUAUGCGUGUGUGUGUGCAAAGCAGCACUUGCAAGUGUGCUUUGCCAUUCUGCUUGUUGCUUCGGUAGUAUACUUGAGUGCAAGUAGUAGUAGGCUAGUACCACACAGCCGCUGCCCUGUGUAGUUCAUCUCAUCCUUGACUUCGUCCGAUCCUGAGUAGCCAGCUACUCUGUACGUAGUUCGGGCUGACAAUUGGCACCAGAGUCUCAGGUUAUGCCGAAGCAUAUGCCGAAAGGAGGCGUUGCCGACGAUGGUUUCAAGACCGCCGAGCAAAGCUCGACUGAGGACACCCGUGCGGCGGACGCGCUCGCGCUGUGAGGCAGGCCGGGAGGUGAGCUGGGUGCGCCACGCUCCGUGCGAGACGUGGGCAUGUCCAGUACCUCCUUCCCUCUCCUCACGCGGACCAACUAUCCCAGUUGGUCCGUCCUGAUGAAAGUCAUCAUGGAGGCGCGACAUAUGUGGGAAGCUGUGGAAACCGGCAAUGUCGAGUACGAGGAGGACCGGCUGGCGAUGGAGGCGAUCUUGCGCUCCGUCCCAGAGGAGAUGGUGCUCACCCUUGGCGCCAAGGAGACGGCCAAGGAAGCAUGGGACACCAUCAAGACUCUGCGCAUCGGCGUGGAGCGCGUACGGGAGUCGAAGGCCCGGACCUUGUGCCUCCAGUACGAGGAGAUCUGGUUCAAGGCCGGUGAACAAGUCGA